UCCACCAUGGCGCAGCCGGGAGCGCACGGGGCCCUUAUGAAUAUAUGACCUCGAGGUCACUCGAUCGAAACGAGUUGGUGGUA